rnacentral:rRNA from 1 species
UCCCAGCAGUCCAAGUCGCAACCACAUUUGUUGGGUCUAAAACAUCCGUAGCUCGCUUCGUAAGUCUCCUGUGAAAUCCUUCAUCUUAAGUGGAGAAUUGCAUGAGAUACUGCGGAGCUAGAGACCGGGAGGCGUAUCGAGUACGAAGGGAGUAGCGGUAAAAUGCGUUGAUCCUCUUUGGACUAACAGUCGCGAAGGCGCGAUACGAGCACGGUUCUGACAGUGAGGGAUGAAGGCUAGGGGCGCAAAG